rnacentral:rRNA from 1 species
GAUUAACGCUGGCGGCGUGCAUAACACAUGCAAGUCGAACGAUGAAACUCAUUCGAUUUCUUCGGAAUGAAAAUGAAUGGAUUAGUGGCGAACGGGUGAGUAACGCGUGAGUAACCUGCCUUACACAAGGGGAUAGCCUCUGGAAACGGAGAAUAAUACCCUAUGAAACCAGACAAUCGCAUGAUAAUCUGGUCAAAAUGUUUAGUGGUGUAAGAUGGACUUGCGUCUGAUUAGCUAGUUGGUGAGAUAAAAGCUCACCAAGGCAACGAUCAGUAGCCGGCUUGAGAGAGUGUACGGCCACAUUGGGACUGAGACACGGCCCAGACUCCUACGGGAGGCAGCAGUGGGGAAUUUUGCACAAUGGGGGAAACCCUGAUGCAGCGACGCCGCGUGAUUUAGAAGGCCUUCGGGUUGUAAAGAUCUUUUGUAUAGGAAGAAAAUGACAGUACUAUACGAAUAAGGUCCGGCUAAUUACGUG